UUUAUUUGUUUGCUGCAGAUCGUAUAACCUUCCAAGGAAAAAUGUGUAAGACUUGGGGAAGUCAUUGCUUUUCAGUGUUGAAAAAAAAUGACAUGAUAACUGGACGGACUUGGAUCCGGAGGAGGCAAAGAGCAAAUCAAAUCAAGAAGCAUUUCAGCCAUACUGUUGAAGUUAGAAAAAUCUGUUACCAAGUUGUGGAAAGAAAACAACUGGAGGAAAUAUCAUCUAAAGUCGACCGUUUCCAAUCACUGGUACUCCAUUCAUUAUAUGCUUGAGUGGUUCCAGGAACAACAGAAGACUGUGCGCUGCUACAACGCCAAGGACAAGAAAGGCACCACAGCCUGUCGGCCUGACUUCCCCUCAGUCAGUCCUGACAUUUCAGGCGCCACUUCCCUUGCCCAAAUGAGCUCGUCACUUGAGAAGAGAGCUCGCAGCCAAGGGCUUCUUCGUCCAGCGACUCCCCCAGUUCUCUUAGAGGCCCUCUGUUGCUCCUGCGGGCUUUGCACACGGGAAGCACUUGAGAGGGACAACCGGAUGUGUCCGUCAGUCCAUUCUCGUUCUACCAUCUCUUUGUCUCUCACAGGCACAUUUGAGGAUCUCUGGUGAGCAGGAGCCAUCUCUGUGCGGUAGGCUCUUUACACACUCCCUUCAAGUCACUUCCGUUCUAGGCAUGGGUUUCAUUGCGUCUUCCACCCACCUUUUCUUGCUGCCAGAAGCUCUAAUGAGCACCAACUCAGGCCGAACGCUGCCAAGUAUGAGCAGGCCCACCCUGCUCAACCACCGAUGUUAAAAUACUAUCCAGAGUUCAUUGUGAGCCAUCCGAAGGCAUGUUUCCAUUGGCAACCACUUCCCAUCACAGCGUACCAACUGGGCCAGAAAGAGGACUGGUGGAAACAAAGGUAAGAUUUGUUCUAGAAGAUGAUUUAUUCUGCUGUAAUUUCUUCCAAGAGCUCCCCCCUUGCAACACACACUCCCCCUCUUUCCCACUUAAAUAAAUAAUGAGCUUGGGAAGUCCUUUAGCCCGCUUUGCUUAUAGACAUAUUUCUAAAAGAAAAUAGAGACAGUGUAUUCUGGAAGUUUAUGUAAGGUCUAAGGAAGGAGUCACUCUGGUGCACUUUCCAUCCUUGCUACAGCAGGUUUCCUUAUGGUGAGUAUGACAAAGGGCAGGCUGUGCGGCGGGAAUGCCAGCCGGCCCUGUGUUCCAGAGCCUUCUAUCACUCUUCCUGAUUUGACAUGAAAUAUUAAACACCGGUUACCAACAAAAAGUUAUUGAACACAGAUGUGCACUAUCACUUUCGAAUUGCUAAAGUCAAUCUAGGGACACAUAUAUGUAUAUAUGCUCGUAUAUAUCUAUGCAUUUAUAUAUGUGCAUUUCCCUGAAACACAAAUGUUCUGUGACAGUAAUGAUUUCACAAUAUACCCUUUCAAUUAGAAGAGGACAUUGUAUAUGUGUUUUCGUUUUUUAAAAUCCCUAUUCUUUCAUUCAAAAGGUCUGGCUGGGUAUUUCAUUACAUAUGGGACCAAGGAAUGAGAAAUAAAUUAAAAGAAAGAGCGCCACCUACUGACGCAUUUAAAAACUCUUCCACCGGCGCUGUUUUAGAAUGGAAAGGGCUUGCACAACAGAGACCUUGUGAAUGUGUAGCUUAAACUGUUUGGCUAAACGAGAAGGAAGAAAGAGGUAGGGGCUGCCCCCAUGGAAAGCAAUUGGUUAGAAUGGAGCUGACUCUGUAAAGGAGAAAGCCCACUACUUUUCUGUGCCCCUCAGAAGCCCUAAUUAAUAAGUCUGCUUCAGGUUUAGUGUUCCCCCAGGACUCGGGUUAACUGUGGCAUUCCCUUUUGCUGGGUUUAACGGAAUCCUGUCGGGUCACACAUUUUGCUCCAUUACAAUAAUCGUAUUCAUGUCCCUGGCUGCCCCUUCCGACUCUCAGACAUGGUGGGCCCCCUUUGAAAGGAUUUACGGGACCACUUCUCCCGCUAGUGAAGUUGGGAUUGUUCAGAACCUACCUUCCUCUCCCCUGCCCCCACCCCUGCCCAGAUUCACGUGAUUUCGCAGGGGAGUGAAGAAAAACAUCCACUGGGGACUUAAAGCCAAUGUCAGGAGGCAGAGCAUAGUUCCGUGAGUAGGAAGCCGCUGAGUGGGACCACGGGGUAGGUGGCUGGGAGCAGCUGGUCAAUGGUCCCUGCCGUGUCAGCGGGUUCUUGCCCUUCGACCAGUCUAUAAGAUCUUCCAGAACCAUUUUUUUAAUAUUUAUUUAUUUGGAAUACAAUAUUCUGUCUGUGUGUCUGCCUGCAGGACAGAAGAGGGCAUCAGAUCUCAUUUCAGAUGGUUGUGAGCCACCAUGUGGUUUCUGGGAAUUGAACUCAGGACCUUUGGAAGAGCAGGCAAGGCUCUUAGCCGCUGAGCCAUCUCGCCAGCCCAUUUUUAUUUCCUGCUUCGAUACUUCUUUUAAGAAAGGCACAGUCUCCAGAGUCACUGGCUGAGAUGUGACUUAUUGUUGCAUAUCCUAGUGACUCAAAGGGUCACAGCGACCUGGUUCACCCUGCUUGAAACUGGCUUCAUUAAUUACAGAUGUUUUUUUUUAAAGAUGAAUCAACUCUUGAUUUCGCUUGUCCACUACUUUUGAGCAGUGACUAUAGAAAAUAUUAUCAAUAUGCAAUAGGACGGUAUCUGAAAACACACAAUGGAAUGAUUUUGGAUGAAGUCCUUUGAACCUGUAUCUCCAGCCAUGCGUAGACUUGAUUAACUAACUAUAGGCCCAGGUAUUCAAAGUCUGAGGAGAAAAAUGUUUAUCUUUCCCCAAAUGAAUCACACAUCAUUUAUCACUGUAGAGUGGCCAAACUCGAUGGCUUCCUUGUCACACAUAAAUUCAAUAGCUGACCACAUCCAGGGACGGAAAUUUCUUAUAAAUCAAACAACUACAUACAUUACAAAGAAAGGGAGUGGAACUCACUGCUGAAUUUUGGUCCAUCAGAAUAAGUAUGAUGAGGGUCUGGUGUAUUCAAGGCACAGUGCUAGGUGUCAUGGGAACGGUUAAUGAAAUAUGAUCUGGCCCAACCCUCAAGCAGAGAAACACCUGCCUGACAUUGCUGCUCUGGAAAUUACAUGCAGUGACCUUGCACGGUGCCUGCCGACAGGUCAGUGGUUAGUAGCAUGAGGACUACAAUCUCACUUUGAGACAGUAUUUAAAGCAGAGGGGACAGGGAUGGCCAGAAAGGAAGAAAUGGUGCAUUACUGAGUGAUGGCUGAAACACCAAUUGUGCUGGGGUCGGAAGGUAAAUGUCUAAAUCCUCCCCCCAGAGAACUUCUUGCAGUUGUUUUUAGCCCUGACUAGCAUUUGCUGUCUUCAAAAACUCAUUGUGUUCUAGACACAAGGCUGUGCUACUGAAAUUUUCAACUCUCUUCAAACCUCUCCAAAAUCAAAUGAUAUAAAAUAUUAUCAACCUCAUUUUAGAGUUAACAGUCCCAGAGAGGCUACAGAAUUUAUGUCACAAACGCAGCAAAUUUUUAACUGAUAUUUGGAGUUUCUCCACUUGACUAAACUGUCUCCACCACAGACUUACUUUCAUUAUUAUUUAUAUACACAUGUUUAUGUCUGUGUGCGCAUGUAUGUGUGCAGUCAAUGCAAAAUUGACUUCAAGUUUCCUCUUCAGACGCCAUCUACCUUUGUAAGCUUUUGUUUUUGUUUUUCCUUCCUUCCUGUUUCCCUUCCUCUCUCCUCUUCGCUUCUUCUCUUUCUCCUUCUCUUCCUCUCUCUCCUUCCCUUUCUUCUCCCUCUCUCCUUCUCUUCCUCUAACUCUCUGUCUCUUUCCUUUUCCCCUUCCCUUCCUUUCUCUCUUCCUUCCAUCUUUCCUUACUUUUCUCCGCCUCCUGUCAUUGAGAUACAAUCUCUUACUGGUCCAGGGCUCUUUGCCCAGGGAUGGGCUAGCUGGCCAGCAGUGUCCUAGAGAUUAUCCUAUCUUUUCCAUUCCAUGCUGGAUUUAAGGAAUAGGCCACACUGUCAGCUUUUUAAAAGUGUGUUCUGUGGCUGGAACACAGGUUCUCUUGCUUAUAUGGCCACCUUUUGCCAGUGGGGCUGUGUCCCCAGCACUGUCCAGAGUUUUAGACUCUAGAGUAAAAAGGAAUGUAGCCGCCAUCUUUGGUCCCCUCACAGAUAGAGAGGUCCACAGGAGAAAACAGCAUGCCUGAACCCACAUGCCCAGCUAGUGACCUCACUGAAGUCAGAAAGAAGCCAAGGUCUACAGCGCCAGACUGGUGCUAUUUAUAAAGUUGUUAAAUAUUUCCCAGUAAGUCAUAAAUCAGUAGCUAUUAUUUUUAUAAAACAAAGAGACUACAUUAGGAAAGAUCUCCGUGUUGCAGCUCAUCUUUCCUUGGCUGAGGAGAAACCUACUCAUUUCCAGAUCCUGACAAAUCGUUCAAUAACCCCCCAAUUCACUUAACUCCAACCCCAUCCACAAUGGGCUCAUCCUUAAGUGAGGACAGCAAAAUAGAGACAUGGGGGUAUGUGUACGGAUGUCCAGGCUUAAUUGAACCAUUUUCUUUCUUGGAAUGUGCUACAUUUUGAAUUAUAUAUUUGAUGGAUAAUUGCACCUUUGCUUUUCUCUUGCGUAUAAAAGUGUUCUUUAUUUUUGGAAAUCUUGGGCACAUCUUCAGUGAAAUUAGAUCACAUCUAUUUCCCAUUUCUCCCCUUCAACACCCCCUAAGUCCUACAAUAUACCCCCUCCCGAAUUAAUGGAUUUAUUUAAUUUUUUAAAAAAACUCACUAACUCCAGUUAGAGCUGACCAUUCACAGGUGUGGAGCACAGUGGAAACCUACAAGAGCAGACUCAUCAACCAAAGAUGAUUCUCCCUCCCCCAGUAACUGCCUGGUUCUAACAGCUUCUCAGUGGCGUGGGAUGAUGGGGUUUUGACUGGCUUGAUCUUGUGCACAUAACAGGGGCACAUCCUUUAUGACUGUGAGCAACAUGCCUUGUGUAGAAGGAUAUUGCCCUCUGGAUCUUACACUUUUCUCAUUUCCUCUUUCUUGAUGUUUCCAGAGUCUUGAUCGUACUGUGGUCAAUAGAGAUGUCCCAAUUAUGGCUAAGUUCAUUACAUUUAUUUAUACCUUCUAAGCCUGAAUUGUUGAGUACUAUAUUUUUCAUUUUCACCUGUUUUCAAAUUAUGUUUAAAUUAAUGGCUUUAUGUGCACACAUACAUGCAUGUGCACACACAUAUACAAACUUUUGUUUGUCUUUGGCUUAUUUCACUCAGCACUCCAUGUACCUAUUAAUAGGAAUGUCACAAAGUAUUUAAGCACUUUACCAUUAACAAUGUUGGGUUGUUUUCAGUUUGACAGCAGUAAAAUGCCGCUGUGAACUAUUUUGUGCAUGUUUCUAGGUGUGACCAAUAAUAUUUUAGCUACAUAUUGAAGAGUAAAAUUUCAAGGUUUUAGCAUGUAUAUUCUUAGUUUUAUUAAUAUAAUUUUUGGGGAGGGUUUAGCUAUACCCAGUUAAUUGCUCCCUUGUUUUUAUUAAUCCUUCUUAUAUGUGACUUUCGUGAAUGGUCCUCCUUUUUAUUUAGGUUUAUUAUAUUCUUUUCUGCAUUUAGUUUUUUUUUUAAUCGUAUAUUUAAAGCUACUAUGUGUGUGUUUGUGUUGGAGGAGGGGGCCUUUCCAGUUUCCUUGACCUUGUUCCCUAUGAGAUUGUCUGUCUUUAUGUGGACAUUCUUGAGAUGAUUAAGAAACAAGUUCUUAACCUGAAUAUGUGCGCCUCUCUUCUUGGUGUUUGGCCUUUCCACUCUCUUGAUGGCAUAUUUUGAUGAGUAUUCACUUUGAGCUUAUUAUCAAAUGUAUCAAUCCCUCACCUUCAGGCAUUGCCUUUGUUUCUUAUUACAUUUUGUCUGCAGCGGUAUUAUGAAGAUAUCCUACCACACUGUCUACUAGAUGACUAUCAUCUUACCUUGCAUGUAUGAAGGACUGGCAUUAUGUCUUACUUUUUCCUGUGCAUGCCCAGACCCUGAGUUAACAAGAACAUUCGUCCCCAUCCCGUCACAGUGUGCCCACUGCUGUCAAUACACUGCCAUGCAUCGGUGUGCUGAAGGACUUCGGUUCUCUUAGUUUAUUUUACUUGCAUGUGUCUGGCCCAUAUCACACUCAUUCAGGCUCUAUCACGUUAAAGGGUUUCCAUGCUGUAGAGCAAGGUAAGCUAUUAAACGAUGGUUAUGAGAUGAUUCUGUGAGACUGUAGAGAAAGAGCACGGGGGAAGACUGCAAAUUAGGAGACUGAAGUUAUCUAGGGCCCAGUCUUUGGAUCAUUUCUCUUUCCCUGUACAUAUUCUGCAGUCAUUUCUUCUGACCUUGAGGGUAAAAUGUCAUCUACAUACAAAUGGAUCAAAACUCUGUAUCCCUGCCUAGACUCUCCCACUGAACCCUUGACUUAAAUUUGCAAGACUCUGCUUGAUACCACCAGUCCAAAAUAUGAUAGGCAUUUUAAAUUUCGUAUGUUUAAGGUAGUCAUAGCUUUCUUCUCUAUCCAACUUCUUAUUCUUGUGAUGAUUUUAAUCCCAGUUUAACAGGAACUCCCCCCCCCCAGAAGAUUCGGUGUCAUUCAGUUUUUGUUUUUCUUUUACACUGUACUUCUUGGUAUCAGGAAAUUGCUUCGUCCUGCAUGAUAUCAUAUCCAAAAUGAAAAGCUUGUGCUACCCUAGCACCAGCGCGGUGAUUAAAGCCCUACGUUGUCUUGCCUGGACCUGCUGCAGUAGCCUCCAGUGGGUCUCCUGGCUUUAACACUUCAUCUCUCUAGUCUGCCCUCUGUACAAAACGUCAAUAACAACAAAAUAGCAGCUAUAUUCACAUUGGCUAUUUCCUAAGGAUGUUUAAUCAAUUUUUACACAACCCAGAGUAAAAUCCAAACUGCAAAAUAGAGAAACCACUUGAAAUGUCUGGUUCCAAACGCUGGGCUUCAUCUCUUAAUGCUUUCUUUCUCCCAUUGUCUCUGCUGCUGUUGGCCACCUCAGGAGCUGACUUGAGUUUUCCACAGAAGACGCUCCAGCCACCUCAUCGAGCAUCAUUUGUUCCUCUGAUAAUUGCCCUCUCUCCAAAUUCCCAUUCUUAAGUCUUAUUUUCACUCUAACUUCACCCUCCCAGUGAGAUUCUAACUUGUAUAAACAGGAUUGAUUCCGUGCUUGGGUUCCAUGCUAUAUUUCUCCAUAACACUUAUGUCUAGCAUGCUGUCUGACAUAGACGUUGCUUAUUUUAUGCUUAUAAGGCUGAAGGAUGAAAGUAUAAAUGCUCCCCAUAAAAAAAGUUAAUAAAUCUGCUUGGUUGAAGAGCUCACAUUUUUCUCUGUAGAUUUUUGUCCCUGAUGACUCCCCGUGAUAUCUUUAAAGUGCCUGAUUGGGCAAAUCGUAUUUCUUGGAAGUAUAUAUAGAAAAAUUCUUUAUGAUUGACUAGUUUCUGUGCUUUGUAAUUGUGUAAACUCCUUGGUCUAAUAAAGAAUCUGUGCCUCAGUGUACCCUGAUUAUUAUAAACAUUUCCUGCCUCUUUAGGAUGAACACAACUCCUUUUUAGAAAAUAUUAUUCAUAGUAUAUUGUGUAAUCUGAAUAAGUUAAAGAGACCAUUGUGGAAGAUGUUCAUUAAUCUGACUUAAUGUUUGAUAAACUAAGCUAAAUGUGCUUAAUGUCUCCUAAACUAUGGUGACAGAGGUUGACAACUCCAGCGCUGUUCUUAUUUAUCUCAAGGAACCCAAGACAGCCUGGUCCCUAAACUGUGGUCCUCUGUUAGGAUACUGAGGCAUGGUAAUAAAAUUUUAGAGAGGGAGUUUUCUAUAAUCUGAUUAUUAAAUUCCAUGUUUUUAAUGGGCCUGUUACCUGGGCUGCGUUUCCCCCAGAUGUUUCUUAGUACUUUCAUUUCUUCAGCUCAUUAGAAGAUGGAGUGGGGGUGGCAGAAAGGGGCUGGGGCUUCUUCUGAAUUUAUGAAAUGGACUUUUGCAUACACCUUGUGUACAUAUCUUUUCAUCUGGAUAGCAAGGGCUCCUGUUGUGAGCAUCCUUAUCUCCUUUCUUCUUGAGACCAAGUCCCACAUUGUCACUCAGGGUGUGUUUUUGUUCUCAAACUCCUGCUCUAGGAACUCAAGUGCUGGAAAAACAGAUGUGUGGCAACCAUGCCUGGCCGAUGUCUCUCUUUAAAUGCAUUCUUCUUAGAAUUCCAAUCUGACCUAGAAAGGUGCACACUCUCAACCAAUGCCUGUUUCCUAUGUACUCAGCGAUGAAUCAAACUGAUCUCGUCUCAAGACCCCAGAACCCAAGGGAGAAUGACAAGAAAAUGCAGAUUGCAUGCUCUCAAUUGCAAACUUUUAAUCCGUAACUAGCAUUCAACACAAAUUACUUAAACUACAGUCAAGAAACAUUAAUAAAUGAGCUUCAUUUGUAAUUUCUAAAAUGUGUUUUGUAGUAUUUGGAAUUUGUAUUAUAUAAUGUUAAAAUAUCAUUCAUAUUUCUCUCACAAUACUUGUUAUUUUACUUUGGUGAAAACUUUAAAAUCUUUUGUUCUAUAUUUUUUCUUUUUCACUUUUGUCUGUUUUGAACAUAUAGUAUAUUAUCACUGUCUACAUAACUUGCUUCUAAACAAGGAAUAAUUUCAGCAUAACACUGCAAGUUUUCUACUCCAGGCAGACAGAAACAAAGCUAUUAUCAGCAAAAGGUUAUUCUGCUCACGUGAUCUUAUUUUCUCUUAGACCUCUUAGACCAGGUGAGAGACCACCACAAGCCAUGAGGGGCAGUGGAUCCCACCACCUGAGCCCUCUGUGGGUCCCAGGCUGGUGAGAGGUAGCAGGUAAGAGAUCUCGGCAGCCGGUCCCAGGAGGAGCCAGGAUGGGUGAGAAACGGAUAAGCAUGUCAGGUAGAGUGGGUGCGUAUAGUCUAUUUAGUGGGUUAUGGAAGGGAAAGGGAAGGGAGAGAGAGACAGAGACAGAGACA